CGAGAUGGCGCCAUUGCAUUCCAGCCUGGGCAACAAGAGCGAAACUCCAUCUCAAAACAAAAACAAAAACAAACAAACAAACAAAACGUCAGUCUUCAACGUGGCAGCACUGAGAGGUGAGGCCUUAAGAGGUGAUUGGAUCAAAAGGACUUUGCUCUCAUGAAUGGAUUAACACAUUCAUGGUUUAAUAGAUUAAUGGCUUAUCAUGGGAGUGGUACUGGUGGCUUUACAAGGGUAAGUAAGACCCCUGAGCUAGUACCCUCAGCCACCUUGCCAUGUGAUACCGUGUACCACCUUGUGGUCCCCACCAGCAAGAAAGCUCUCACCAGAUGCGGCCCCUUGACCUUGGACUUCUCAGCCUCCAUAACUAUAAGAAAGAAAUGUUUUCUUUAUAUUCAUUCAAUUUCAGAUACUCUGUUCUAAGCAACAGAAAAUGGACUAGGAGAGUCACGAAUUUGUCAGAGUUUAUAGAGCCAGUGGGAGGCAGUGCUCAUGAGAGUCUAACCAAAAAAAGCAAGUUUCUACUUUCAUAUAUCACAGUGCCUUCUAUGCUCCUGCCCUAGUCAUGAUUGCCUCCUGAUUACAAUAGGGGCACUUUCUAUAAACACAGGCAGCUCAAAGCAAUGCAAUGCAAUUUAAAUUGCCACUUUCCAUGAACUCCCUUUCAUAAGCCUGUCCUUUGAUGGGCAUUGAAAAUGAUUAAUAAGCAAUACCAAAAAUUGAGAAACUCAAUGGUCAGAAAUUCAGAAAUGUAAAAAAAAAAAAAAAGGUAAUACUAUAAGAAUGUGUAUUUACAGAAAGGACUGUGCCACUGCCAGAGCUUCAGCUGCCUGGCAUUUAAAGUUUUAACUCAGUUGAAGAAUUGAGAGAUCAUGGCGGACAAGAGGCAGGACUAGAUUGCAGCUCCCACACAGACAGACAGAGCAGUGUGUGGAGACUCACAUGGUGAACUUUUGCUCCAGAACUACUGCAGGAAUAAACCAGGAAAGCUGAGAGAACCCACAGACCCUCUCAAGGAAGUAGAUUGCUCCUGAAGGGCCCGGGAGACACCCCAAAUACUGUGAUGCUCUCUUCAAAAUGGGACCUCCUGGCAGGAGGCCAACAAGCACAAAAAUAGUGCAUUAAACAAGCAAAACUAAGGACCCUCACAGGGUCCAUUUCACCCCCAGUCACCUCCACCAGAGCAGGUGCUGGUAUCCACAGCUAAGAGACCUGCAGAUGAUUCACAUCACGGGACUCUGUGUAGACAACCUCCCAGCACCAGCCCGGAGCCCAGCAGACCUACUGGGUAGCUAGAUCCAGAAGACAGAUAACAACAACUACAGCUCGGCUCACAGGAAGCCAUAUCCCUGGGAAAAGAAAAAGAGUACUACAUCAAGGGAACACCCUGUGGGACAAAAGAAUCUGAACAGCAGCCUCGAGCCCUAGCGCUUCCCUCUGAGAUAGCCUACCCAAAUGAGAAGGAACCGGAAAAGUAAUUGUGGUAAUAUUAAGGGAGGAGAUCACCCCUCAUAUUGUCUUAUGCCCAAUUUCUGCUCCAAAGAAAAAAGAAGUAAAAACUAAAAGGCAGAAAUGAAAUCCACAAGCAGACAGCCUGGUGCCGCACCCUGGGCCUGGUAGUUAAAGACUGACCCCUGACCUAAUCGGUUAUGUUAUCUAUAGAUUACAGACAUUGUAUAGAAAAGCACUGUGAAAAUCCCUAUCCUGUUCUGUUCUGUUCUAAUUACCGGUGUUUGCAGCCCCCAGUCAUGUAACCCCUGCUUGCUCAAUCUAUCAUGACCCUCUCACGUGGACCCCCUUAGAGUUGUGAGCCCUUAAAAGGGACAGGAAUUGCUCACUCGGAGAGCUCAGUUGUUGAAGACGUGAGCCUUGCUGAAGCUCCCAGCUGAAUAAACCCCUUCCUUCUUAAACUGGGUGUCUGAGGGAUUUUGCCUCUGGCUUGUCCUGCUACAAUGUGACAAAGCAAGGUUCUUUAACACCCCCCCCAAAAAAUCACACUACCUCACCAGCAAUGGAGUCAAACCAAAAAGAAAUCCAUGAUUUACCUGAAAAGGAAUUCACAAGGUCAGUUAUUAAGCUAGUCAAGGAGGCAUCAGAAAAGGUGAAGUACAAUUUAAGGAGAUGAAAAAACGAAGAAAAGGAAUAAGGGGAGAAAUCUUCAGUGAAAUAUACAGCAUAAAUAAAAAACAAUAAAAACUUCAGGAAAUAACAGAUGUACUUAGAGCAAUGCAAAAUUCUCUGGAAAGCCUCAGUAAUAGAAUCAAACAAGCAGAAGAAAGAACUUCAGUGCUUCAAGACAAGAUUUUUGAAUUAAUCUCAGCCAA
ensembl:lncRNA